rnacentral:rRNA from 1 species
AUUGAACGCUGGCGGCAGGCCUAACACAUGCAAGUCGAGCGGAUGAAGGGAGCUUGCUCCUGGAUUCAGCGGCGGACGGGUGAGUAAUGCCUAGGAAUCUGCCUGGCAGUGGGGGCUAACGUCCGGAAACGGGCGCUAAUACCGCAUACGUCCUGAGGGUGAAAGUGGGGGAUCUUCGGACCUCACGCUAUCAGAUGAGCCUAGGUCGGAUUAGCUAGUUGGUGUGGUAAAGGCCUACCAAGGCGACGAUCCGUAACUGGUCUGAGAGGAUGAUCAGUCACACUGGAACUGAGACACGGUCCAGACUCCUACGGGAGGCAGCAGUGGGGAAUAUUGGACAAUGGGCGAAAGCCUGAUCCAGCCAUGCCGCGUGUGUGAAGAAGGUCUUCGGAUUGUAAAGCACUUUAAGUUGGGAGGAAGGGAAGUAAGUUAAUACCUUGCUGUUUUGACGUUACCAACAGAAUAAGCACCGGCUAACUUCGUG